CUACAACCAAAGCAUAGUGAGAAAACUCCCGAUAGAUACACCCUACAACCCUAAUUUACAAAUCAAACUUCUUCCUAAAGGAUCAGAUAUCGGAGGAAAUGAUUGCCUUCUAGAAAGUAUUGAUGAACGAAAUCAAGCAUAAUGUAAGUAAAUUGGAAAAACAAGAAUUGGAAGGGGAUUUAGAUAAGCAGCAGAUAAGGGAGGAGGUGUCCUUUUUCUAUCUAAAGAAUACUAUAAUAAACAGUCUUUUAACAUUUUAAAUGAUCAAUACGCCGACCAACAGGUCAAUUUAGAUCAGAUUAAGGAGAUUAGGAAGAAUUUUUUUAAAGCUUUUACAUAAGGGAAAAACUACUGGAUUUUAACCCAAAAAAGUUACAUAGUUACAUAGUUACAUAGCUGAAAAGAGACUUGCGUCCAUCAAAUUCAGUCUUCCUCGCAUUUGUUUUUGCUGUUGAUCCAAAAGAAGGCAAAAAACCCAGUUUGAAGCACUUCCAAUUUUGCAACAAAAUAGGAAAAAAAUUCCUUCUUGACCCCAGAAUGGCAGUCAGAUUUAUCCUUGGAUCAAGCCGUUAUUACCCUACAUUGAAAGAUUAUAUCCUUGAAUAUACUGUUUUUGCAAGUAUGCAUCUAGUAGCUGUUUGAACAUCUGUAUUCCACAUCCUUAUUGUUCUUACAGUAAAAAAACCUUCUUUGCCUUAGAGGAAAUCUUCUUUCUUCCAGUCUAAACGCAUGACCUCGUGUCCUAUGUAAAGUCCGGUUUGUGAAUAGAUUUCCACACAAUGGUUUGUAUUGGCCCCGAAUAUAUUUGUAUAAUGUCAUCAUAUCUCUCAGGCGAUGUUUUUUAAACUAAAGAGGUUUAAAUUUGUUAUAACCUUUCUUCAUAGCCGAUAUGUUCCAUUCCUUUUAUUAAUUUUGUAGCCCGCCUCUGCACUUUUUCUAGUGCCAUAAUAUCCUUCUUUAGAACAGGUGCCCAAAAUUGCACAGCAUAUUCAAUAUGUGGUCUUACCAGUGAUUUAUAAAGAGACAAAAUUAUAUUCUCAUCCCUAGAAUGACAAUACCUUACUGGCCUUGGCCACUGCUGAUUGACAUUGCACAUUGUUGCAUAGUUUGUUGUCUAUAACAAUUCCCAAGUCCUUUUCAUGUGUUGUUAUCCCUAAUUUGCUUCCAUUAAGGGUAUACGUUGCUUGUGUAUUCUUUACGCCAAAGUGCAAACUUUGCAUUUUUCAACACUAAAUUUCAUCUGCCAUUUGAGUGCCCAGUCCCCCAGUCUAUCUAAAUCCCUCUGCAGCAAAGUAAUAUCUUGCUCACAUUGUAUUAUUUUACAAAGUUUUGUGUCAGCUGCAAACACUGAAACAUGACUUUCAAUGCUGUCUUCGAGAUCAUUUAUAAACAUUUUAAAUAGAAGGGGUCCCAGAACAGACCCCUGAGGGACACCACUUGCCACCUCUGUCCAGCUUGAAAAUUUACCAUUUAUGACAACUCUUGUUUUUAAAAAACACUUUCGGUAUGGAGACACUGAACUUUCCUCAUAGAGAUGCAUUGAUUCAAUGUAAUUCUAUGAGGAGAUGCUGAUUGGCCAGGGCUGUGUUUGGCUUGUGCUAGCUCUGCCCCUGAUCUGCCCCUGAUCUGACACUAGGGCACUCGAGCCAUGCAGAGGGCACUACAACAGUGCUCAGCUCAUACUCAGCCAGUAAUGGGACCUGCCAGCAUAAUUGGCAUGCCCCUUUCUGGACACAUCCAACGCAUGCAGCUUUGCCAGUGAUACCGAUUGCCUCACUGACCCCCUUUUAGGCCUGUUUAAUUCUAGUCCCAGUUUGCAUACCUCUUUAUGUUAGAAGGUAAGUUCAGUUGCUCCAUAUCACGUGUUAGCAAUGGGUUUAGUCUGACACACCUGAACCCAUUGAUCAGUAGGGAGGUCCACAUACUUUUAGCCGUAUUGCGUCUUGUUUUUAACCAAGAUAUAUUGAUAGACUUGUUUUAACCUCUUUAUGUUUAGCUGACCUGGGCUUAUUUCAGGGGUUAGGCAACCUUCGGCACUCCAGAUGUUGUGAACUACAUCUCCCUUGAUGCUUUGCCAGCUUUAUGGCUUUAUGAGCAUUAUGGGCGAUGUAGUCCACAACAUAUGGAGUGCCAAAGGCUGCCGAUCCCUGGCUACUGUAUAGUCAGAUGGCAAGAGUUAGUUUGGUAAUAUGUUUUUGCUGGGAAAGUAGAUGGCCUUUAAAUGGAAAACAGAGGAGCUAAAUCAAGGGCCAUUUUUACACAUUUGCACCAGUUAUCACAAUACAAUACUUUUUAUGUACAUAACCCUUAUUUUCUUAACAACAACUGAAUGGAGGUGCCCAGUUGCAGGAUAAAGAUUUUAUUUUCUGAUCAAGACAUAUGUUAGAUCCUCCCCUCACCGCUGAAAUGACAGGUAGUAGAGUUCAAUAUAAGAAUAAAUAGAGCCGCCCCAUCAGCCAGCCUUUUUUAAUUUCAUUCAUAGCAGAUAGGAAGGAGCCUUCUUUAGCGGACACCCAUCUUAUGCAUAUAUCCUAAAUAUAGGGGGAAUGUACAGACAAUAUUAAAGGGACACAAAUAUUUUUUAAGAUCAUUAUUUAGUAGAUCUACCCCCAAUGAAAACAUGUAUGCAUUUAAUUAUGCAUAUUUUUAAUUGGUGGUAUAUGUAAGAACAGUUUAUAAAAGCUGCAGAUGUAUUGUCUGAUGUCUUUGCAAGCCCUCCCCUUUUAACCCCGCCCAGACUUUCUAUGUCUGUCCAAUCACAGACUUCCCAAUGCAGCUCAUUGAGAAAUCUUUACAAGGCAGGUGGCUCUGGGCAAUUGCUGCCUCUUGAGUCUAGUUUCUCUGAGCUAAAUAAACCAGGAAGUAACAGGACUGGGGGUGGUGUAACAAGGUUAAUUUAUAAAAGUGCCAAUUUCUAUUGCAAUAUAUAUAAAAGGGGCUAAAGUUCUUUAGCAGUUUUGGAGUGUUCCUUUAAAAAUCAAAGGAAAUGGCAAUUUCCUUUUAAAAAAAAUUAAUUGUUGGAAAUAGUGGAUACAAAAACGUUUACUGAUGUUUUUGCUAAUUUUCUUGGUCUCGUCUGAGGUACUUGCAAAAUUACUGUCAUGUGAAUAGAAAAUUUAAAUAAAUAAAAGAAGAAACACAAUUACAUUUGAAUGUUCUUGCAUAUUGUAAGCAGAUCUGAGAAUAUCAAUCAAAAAGUUCAUUAGCUCAAUGUCAUAAAACUCAUAAAUUAGACAGAGCGUUCUGCUCUUUUCCGCUUCUCCUAAUUGCAAUGUCACAAGGAUAGAUACUUCUAAAUCAUACUGCAAUUACAUUUGUUUAAAAUACAGUUGUCCCUGGUUGCCAAGUAGUGUAGCUUUCAAUAUUGUCACAUGCGAUGCCUUGAAAAUAGUGUUAAUCUUUUCAAGUAAAAUAAGAAUGGAAAUGAUAACACUGAUGUAAACUCAGGGUUCCUAUUACCCGAAGCCCGGGACAGGCAGAUAUUUGGGUGUUUUUAGCCCUGCAAGUGGCACGGCUUCCUGGAGAGCAAUGGGCAGGGAGCGUGUGAUAUUAUGUACCUACCUGGCUUCCUGUUAGAGAUCGAGAAUAACUGGGUUUUAUCAGAGGUGUCUGAUUUAGGCAAUACUUCUACCAGACCAAUUACAGGAGAGUUGGCAGCGUCCUAAAACCCAGUGCUGCCUAUUGAUCUUCCAGUGUUCUGUCCUUACAGGUGAAACCCUCCAUUGUAAGCUGAGUUUAGAAACAUGGGGAAGGGGAAAUUUGACAACACGGACACAAGAAAGAGAAAGGUAUAUACGACAGAAGUUGGUAGUGGGGUGUAUGGGUAGAGAGACAGAAUGUAUUGAUGUAUACAGAGGCAGAAGGAUAGAAGUGGGAAAGUGGGGUGUAUGGGUAGAGCGAUAGAAUGUAUGGAUGUAUACAGAGGCAGAAGGACAGAAGUGGGAAAGUGGGGUGUAUGGGUAGAGGGAUAUAAUGUAUGGAUGUAAACAGAGGCAGAAGGACGGUGGUGGGGUGUAUGGGUAGAGGGAUAGAAUGUAUGGAUGUAUGCAGAGGCAGAAGGACAGAAGUGGGAAAGUGGGGUGAAUGGGUAGAAGGAUAGAAUGUAUGGAUGUAUACAGAGGCAGAAGAACUGAAGUUGCAUGUGCAGGGCCUUGUGUUGAAGUUUAUGACGGGCUUGAUUACAUUACAGGGGCAAUCUAAGUACCAUAAACACUGCAGCUAGCUAUAUUGAUUAUGCUACUUAUACCUUGGCAACAUCCUUAGAGAAUUUAGGAAUAGAACGAUUAUCAGUUCUGCCAAGUAUUAAAGACGAUAUUUGGCAUAUUACCGAUAAUCAGUAUUGGCCUUGUGAUUUAUAGAUAUUACCGAUACCAUACUCACCUCUCCCAGUCACUGCAAGCUGUCUUCUGCAUCCAGACACUCCAGCCGCCAGCCAAUGAGGCGCCACAUUGCAACCUCCCUGUGAGUCCCUGCAUGCGGAGCUCGGCUGAAGGAAGGGAGGUGAGUAGGUGAAUAAUCUACUGUAAUUAUUGUAAUUAUUGGCAUUAUUCUAUCGGUUCCCCCAAAAGAAAUGCUUAAAGAGCAUUUUUAAAUGAUGUUUUACUUAGCUUAAUCUGGUGCUGAGCAAAGCUCCCAGUGCGCCUUAUCUGUUCUCAUGAGAGUCACACCAAGGUCCACUCAAAGGCUUCUUACUCUGAGCUGGUGAAAGGGGGGGAUAGAGAGUGAAUGGGGAAGGAGGGAGAGCGGGGGAUUAAACUAAUAGUUGAGUGGACAGGGAGGAGGGAGAACAGACGAGGAGAAAUGGUUACACCUGUAGACAGAUUGCAGUGCGCACUGACGACAGACAUAAAAUAUGCACAGAAUUGACAUUAGUUCAAUUAAUUUCAUUUAGUGAGUACAUUAUAAGUCUGAGAUUUCAGUUUAUAUUUUGGUAGUCACAGAUCACAAAACACAAUGAGUAAAAUAAAAUUUUCAAUGUGGAACGAUUAAUAGCCACCCCCCUCCCCUUCCAUUUGCCUUAUUUGUAGCCCCCUCUACCUUAACAUUAGACACAGUUUCUAGCUCCCUCUCGCCAUUGCCAUGUUUCUAGCCCUUUCUCCCUCUCCAUUGGCCAUAUUUCUUGCCCUCUCUCCCUCUCCACUAGCCAUUUUUCUAGCCCCCGUUCCCCUUCUAUUAGUUAUUUUUAGCCCCCUCUCCCUCUCCAUUAGCCAUGUUUAUUUAUGGGGGGGGCUAGAUGGUGGUUUUAACACUAUAGGGUCAAGAAUACAUGUUUGUGUUCCUGACCCUAUAGUGGUCCUUUAAGCACAGUCCAGAUGGCUCACACUCUGCAUGUGACAUCACACAUUACUACAGAUUGGUCAGCAGGGGGCAGUGCUUAGAGCUCCUAGAAGCACAACUAAAGGGAUUCUCUAGUACCAGGAAAACAAACCCGUUUUCCUGGCACUAGAGAAUCCUGGAGCGCGCCCUCCCUCCUGCCCCCCAUCCCACAUCGCUGAAGCGAUGUCCCUCGGCGCUGGGUCAGGCUCCGCCCAAUGCUUUCCUAUGGGAACUCUAGUAACUCAUGCAUAGCGUGAGGACGUCCAGCGUCAUUUAGAUGACCAAAAGUCAUAUAAGAAGCCAGAAGUCCCUCUAGUGGCUGUCUGGUAGAGGUGGAGUUGAUCCGUAAAGGUAAUUAUUGCAGUUUAUAAAAACUGCAUUAAUUACACUUACAGGGUUAAGGAUAAUGGGAGUUGGCAUCCAGACCACUUCAAUGAGCUGAAGUGGUCUGGGUGUCUACAGUGUCCCUUAACUCUAGCUGGACUGUAACUGCAUCGCUGGGAACUCUGGUGUUUGUUCUUCUUGUUCCUGGCAGCUCUGACAGGCAGGAGGUAGAGAUGGGCUUUUAACAUGCAGAAUAGGCAAUCCUAUCAGGCAUAUGUCCAUUCAUUAGAAAGACUAAUGAACAAAAUGAACGAAUAGAAAUGAAAAAGAACGAAUGAAGACCAAAUUUCAAUAGGAUCUUUGUUCGUUCAUUUAGUUUAUUACAAGUAAGAAGCUACCGGUUGGCGGCUCCAUUCUUGUGAUAUGUAAAAUAGAAGCUGCUGGGAGCUGUGCUCCCUACCACUUCCAAACCUCCCCCCCCCCCCAUGUACCUCCUCACUCUAUGGGGGUCAAUAUGACUCCAAUAUAAGCAUAAGGGACAUUAAAAUCUCCCUCCUCCCCUUACUCGCUAUGCCGUGAGUAGGGACAUUUCUACUAAAGAGUGAGCAGCCAGUGACUGAUCACUGUUGGAAAAAAAAGACACACACACCAAAAUCCAAUAAAUGGGAUCCUCGCACAGGUUCCCCAUGCCCCCAUGGUGGGGCACCUAUUAUAAAAAUAAACAGGGCACCCCCCCGUGUCAAAAGAGUGCAGAAGGUAACCUAGCUUCCUUUACUAAAUGUGCAUUUAGUUAAAUUCUGUAGGGACCACAGCCUCCAGUAAGGGGCUGCUGUUUGCAAACCAUAUCCAACUCUGGGCCACUCACACAAGCUGAAGAAAAAGGAUAUAAUUUCAUAAAGCACACUAAUCUAAAGGACCACUGAAAACAUCUCAAUGAAGUAGUCUGGGUGGAGUAAUCCUGUUCUUGUUUUGUAGAAAAAUUUCAUUGCAGGGUUAAAGGACCACUAUAGUGCCAGGAAAACAUACUCGUUUUCCUGGCACUAUAGUGCCCUGAGGGUGCCCCCACCCUCAGGGUCCCCCUCCCGCCCGGCUCUGGGGAGAGGAAAGGGGUUAAAACUUACCUUUCUCCAGUGCCGGGCGGGGAGCUCUCCUCCUCCAAUCCUCCUCUGUUCCUCCCAUUCGGCUGAAUGCGCACGCACGGCAAGAGCUGCACGCGCAUUCAGCCGGCCGCAUAGGAAAGCAUUUACAAUGCUUUCCUAUGGACGCUUGCGUGCUCUCACUGUGAUUUUCACAGUGAGAAUCACGCAAGCGCCUCUAGCGGCUGUCAAUGAGGGCUGGCUUAACCCUAUUAUAAACAUAGCAGUUUCUCUGAAACUGCUAUGUUUAUAGAAAAAAAGGUUUAAUCCUAGCUGGAACUGGCACCCAGACCACUUCAUUAAGCUGAAGUGGUCUGGGUGCCUAGAGUGGUCCUUUAAACACACCUUUAGUGUCAGUCAAACAGACAGUCGCUUCAGCUACAACGUCCGAAUUUGUCUAAUAUGGCAUUUGACAUCCUCACUCAUUGCAUUGGACAUUAUAUUCAAUGCUUUCAUAUGAGGAGACAAAAAGGGAAUUUGGGGCAUACCCAGAACAUGGAUUUCACAGCAAUUGUGCUGCCUUAGUAACCAAACUGUAUACAGAAUACAUAUUAAGGGACAGCACAAACAUAAAAAUACAAGUUGAAUACAAGUUGAAUUUUUUAAGACUUCUUAAAAUCACCUAUCUCGGCAAACAAAUUUGGGGAUUCAGUUCCACCAUUUGGCCAUAUUGUGUUAAGUCCAUCACUACUUCCCAGUACCCCAAUGUCGGUGGGGCUAACUAAUUCCAACGUGGGAGACAAAUUAAAUAGUGUUAGUGCUAAAUGAGCUAAAGUAUAUUUUUAUAAUCUGUUGUAAGAGCAUUGCUUAGAUGUAUAUACCCACAGUGCAUAUCAUAUCUGCUCUAUACCCAAUAAAUAUUAUAAUUAAAGUAACAUUACUAUCCAAAACCUCAUCAAAUAUACUUUCCUGUGGUUCCCUAUGAGACGCAUUUGAUUGUACAUGCACCAUGCUCGACACACAUGCGCAAAUCACCCUCAAUGCUUUUCUGUGAGAAGCAUCAAAUUGAAUGAUCACUGAGGAAGCGAUGCUUCCAGGAUGAUAUUGUGGUAGGAGGAGUGGGUGGCAGUUAGUGUUAGACAUGUGCAAUUCGAUUCAGUCCGAAUGUGAAUUUGGACGAAUUUCGGGCAAUUCGGACAUUCGGGUACUUCUGAAUGUCCGAAUAGAUGAAUUGCUGAAUUGCCAAAUGGUUGAAGUCCCGAAGUUCCGAAAUGACUGAAUUUCCGAAGUGUCGAAGUUCCGAAGUUCCCAAGUUGACGAAGUUCCGAAGUGCCGAAGUGUCGAAGUUCCGAAGCACAGUAUUGCCUAAGAACUAAUAUACUUACCAGCACUAAUAUACUUGCAACACUUACAACAAUCAAGUAACAUACAUUCAUAUAAAAUGUAAAUUACUUAGCCAGUCAGUGUAAUGACAGGAAUGAAUAAGUAGAUAACUCCCUAAUUCCCACGGUAUUAGGGAGCUAUCUACUAAAAGGCUGAAAGACCAAUUAAAGAUUACUUAGUAUUAGUAAAUUAUGCCCCUACUCGCUAUACUGCGGUGGGUGGGGGCCCUAAAUUAGAAUAAGGGGGGGACCUAAUGUCCUCCCCCCUGGCCCCCACCCCUGAGCAGUGGGUGGGGCCCUACAGUAAUAUAAGGGGGGGGACCUAAUGUCCUCCCCCUGGCCCCCAUCCCUGAGCGAUGGGUUGGGGCCCUAAAUUGGAAUAAAGGGGGGGGACCGAAUGUCCUCCCCCUGGCCCCCACCCCUGAGCGGCAGGUGGGGGGCCUAAAUUGGAAUAAGGGGGGGGGACCUAAUGACCUAAUGUUCUCCUCCCUGGCCCCCACCCCUGAGCGGUGGGGUGGGGGCCCUAAAUACCAAUAUUAUGGAUUUUUUAUUUGGCCUUUUUGGGGGCUGAAAAAAGAAGAUUUUAGAAGAAAGAAAACAUCAAAUGGUAAUUUUUAUUUUUUUACAGUUAAAGGUACCCCCUUCAUUAUUUUUAGGGUGAGGGGGGUAGGUGGGGGUUAAUUUUUUGGGGGGUGACUAGGGUUUUGGGGACCCCUAAUCACCUGGGGGGGGGUAAAAUUUUUAUUUAGGGCCCCCACCUGCCGGUCAGGGGUGGGGACCGGGGAGGGAGGUCAAUAGGUUCCCUCUCCUAUUGGUAUUUAGGGCCCCCAUCCGCUGCUCAGGAGUGGGGGCCAGGGGGAGGACAUUAGGUCUCCCCUCUUAUUAGUAUUUAGGGCCCCCAUCUGCUGCUCAGGGGUGGGGGCCAGGGAGAAGGACAUUAGGCCCCCCCUUAUUCCAAUUUAGGGCCCCUACCCGCCGCUCAGGGGUGGGGGCCAGGGGGGAGGACAUUAGUUCCCCCCCUUAUUAGUAUUUAGGGCCCCCACCCACGGCUCAGGGGUGGGGGCCAGGGCAGAGGACAUUAGAUCCCCCCCCCUUAUUCCAAUUGAGGGCCCCCACCUGCCGCUCAGGGGGGAGGACAUUAGGUCCCCCCUUAUUUUACUGUAGGGCUCCCACCCACCGCUCAGGGGUGGGGGCUAGGGGGAGGACAUUAGGUCCCCCCCCUUAUUAUAAUUUAGGGCCCCCCUCCACCGCUCAGGGGUGGGGGCCAGGGGGGAGGACAUUAUGGUUGCCAGACUUUGAGGUUAAACUGUUGGUGAAUGGUUUAACUCCUUUAUUAGUAUUUAGGGCCCCCACCCACCACUCAGGGGUGGGGGCCGGGGGGGAGGACAAUAGGUCCCCCCAUCCUUUACUUUUGGGCCCCCACCCGCCACUCAGGGGUGGGGGCAGGGGGGAAAUAGGUCAUUUUUUUUAAUUUUUUUUAACAGUGUGCAGCCACAGGCUGCUCACUGUUUAAUAGACAUCUCAACCAUUCAUAUUUUAGUUGGCACCAGAACUAGUUAAGUACAUAGAUUUACUGAAACCUUGAAAUUUAAAAUAUCAUUGCAGUUAGGUAUUUACUAUGAGGCAGUUAGGUCGCCUAAAAGACUAUGUUUUUUGGUCGCCUAACUGACGCUAGACAUCCUCACGCUAUGCAUGGGGACAUUCAGCAUUACCAAAUGCUUUCCUAUAGGGAAAUCCUAAUGCGAGCGUGGCCAUUGCCGGUGGGGGAGGAGUGAAGGCGGACCUAAGCCAGUGACAAAAAACAUUGUUUUGUUUUCUUGGAUCUGUAGAUUCCCUUUACGUUGUUAUGAGAGUUGUGCAAUGGGCCAGUGAGAGAGAUCUUUGAAAGGACUGAGUUCUCAAUCUUACUGAAUAGGCCAGCGAUGGUGAGAGACUUUGAUGUCCCUGGUCAGCCUUGUCCAUGGCCAUCGCAGGCCACCGCGCUAUAUUCCUUAUCAGGAUGAUCUCAACUUUAGUAAUAUUGAUUUUGAUCAAGUUUUCACAUCAUUCAUUGACUUAGAGAGGUUUUUUUUUUUAAAUCUAAUAUUAUUUUAAUAGAUUCUUUGGGAAAAGCGUUAAAAUUAUUUAGCGAAUUUGCCUUUUACCGGAUUUGUUCAAAGUGAAUGUGGUUGUAAUAUUGCAUUUGAUAAAUAUUUUUUGCACGUUCUUGUUGUAGGUGGUUUACUACAGUUUCAAUGGUGGGAAGGAAUAACCCAUUACUUUUAAGCUCCUUUCAUAUAACGGAUUCAUAUUUAAUUUAGCUUUGUUUAUUUUGUUCGGUUGCAGAACGUAGACCACCCCAGGAACAUUGAGUAUCUUGUACAAAAACCGCAAAGGAACUAAUAAUGG
rnacentral:lncRNA from 1 species